CAUCUGGAAUAAGAGUCAUGCAAUUUCAGGAGCUUACACUGUACCAGUUUUUCCGUCAAUGGUGUACCUGCGUUAGCAUUGAACCGAAAGGUGCGCGACAAGCAUUGAAGGGUGUCCCUGUAGGAAAAUGCAGGAUUUCCUACACUUCGCCAUAUUGGAGUUUAGCUGGACACGAUCGAGCACCAAUGGAUUCUACUUGAAGGGCCGCUAUAAGGCCAUUGAUUAUCUCUUCUUUUUGAGUACCAUGCCGAAUCUAGUAAGUGUUGCUAAAAUAAUAUUUGAUUGAAUUUAGCUGACAGAUGUUCUACGAUACUCUUUACUUGUCGUAGACUUAUUCUAGGAUGUUUAUUUUUUCUAAUAUAAAUGAUCAAAUCUAUUUAUACUACUACAACAACUACAUAUAAUAUAAUGUAAUAGAACUCUAAAUAAAUGCAAAAAAUCGUCUACCGACAGUAAAGUAACAGUAAAAUAUCAUCAGUAAAAUGCAAAUGCAGUACUGCAAAGGAUCCCAGUUGGAGCGAAGACACAUAGAUGCAUUUGAAGGUAUUUUUCUUCAGGUGAAAUCAAACUAUUCUGGUAAUGGAAGGCACGAGGGAUUUCAGAUGGAGCAUGCGAGUAUCAAGUUUUCUGUUUUCAUUGAUGAGAAACCAGCACCAGCUAUGAAUGAAUAUUCAUCGCUUUUUGCAAAAAAGUUUGAUUGUCUUACAUUUUAAAUAGAUUUUUAAUGUUGUAGUAGUCAAUUUAAUUUUUAUACCAUAAAGU
rnacentral:lncRNA from 1 species